rnacentral:rRNA from 1 species
GUGUAAUCUGCCCAGUGAUUAUACAGCAUAAUAAUAUAUUAUUAACUUAUAAUUAAACGGCCGCUGUAUUCUUGACGGUGAUAAUGUAGGAAAAUAAUUAGUCAAUUAAUUGUUGAACGUAGAUGAAUGAUUGAACGAAAUUUCCACUGUCUUAUUUAUAAUAUAUUGAAAUUAAUAUAAUAGUGAAGAAGCUAUUUAAAAUUGUAAGACGAAAAGACCCUGUAAAGCUUAACUAUAUAUAUAUUAAUAAUUUAUGCUAAUAUACGCAAUUAUAUUAGCACUAGAUUUAUUAAUUGGGUAGUUUGGUUGGGGCAACAACAUUUUAAAAUUAAAAAAUGUAUAUUAAAAUAAUAUUAUUAUUUAUUGUUUAAUUUAUAAAUUUAACAAUUAUAAUUUAGAUAUAAUGACCUAUCUUUAUACUAUAAAAUUUUAUGAGAUAAUAAAUAAAUAAAAGUUACUUCAGGGAUAACAGGUUAAUUUUAUUUGAAAGAUGAUAUUAAAAAUAAAGUUUGACACCUCGAUGUUGAAUUAAGUUAUCCUAGUGUUGCAGCAGAUACUAAGGGUUGGUCUGUUCGACCAUUAAAAACUUACAUGAUUUG